ACGCUCGACACCUACGGGAUGCAGCAGUGGGGAAUAUUGCACAAUGGGGGAAACCCUGAUGCAGCGACGCCGCGUGAGUGAAGAAGUAUUUCGGUAUGUAAAGCUCUAUCAGCAGGGAAGAAAAUGACGGUACCUGAGUAAGAAGCCCCGGCUAACUACGUGCCAGCACGCCGGAGUAUCNGNGGCGGNGUGAGAG
rnacentral:rRNA from 1 species